rnacentral:rRNA from 1 species
AGUGAACGCUGGCGGUAGGCCUAACACAUGCAAGUCGAACGGCAGCACAGUAAGGGCUUGCUCUUACGGGUGGCGAGUGGCGGACGGGUGAGGAAUACAUCGGAAUCUACUUUUUCGUGGGGGAUAACGUAGGGAAACUUACGCUAAUACCGCAUACGACCUACGGGUGAAAGCAGGGGAUCUUCGGACCUUGCGCGAUUGAAUGAGCCGAUGUCGGAUUAGCUAGUUGGCGGGGUAAAGGCCCACCAAGGCGACGAUCCGUAGCUGGUCUGAGAGGAUGAUCAGCCACACUGGAACUGAGACACGGUCCAGACUCCUACGGGAGGCAGCAGUGGGGAAUAUUGGGCAAUGGGCGCAAGCCUGAUCCAGCCAUACCGCGUGGGUGAAGAAGGCCUUCGGGUUGUAAAGCCCUUUUGUUGGGAAAGAAAAGCAGCAGGUUAAUACCCCGCUGUUCUGACGGUACCCAAAGAAUAAGCACCGGCUAACUUCGUG